rnacentral:tRNA from 1 species
UUUAAUAUGGCAGAAUAGUGCAAUGGACUUAAAAUCCCUAUAUAAAUUAAAAUUUUAUUAAAA